GGAGGUGGCUCAGUGGUAGAGUGCUUGCAUUGCAUGCAUGAGGCCUGGGUUCCAUUCCUCAGCACCUCUU
rfam:Dipodomys ordii contig_34652, whole genome shotgun sequence.